rnacentral:pre_miRNA from 1 species
AAAAAGACAAACUCUAGGUUUCCGUAUCUAAUGUUUGACUAUCCGUCUUAUAUGAAAUUUUUUAUAAUUAGUAUUUUUAUUGUUGUUAGAUGAUAAACCAUGAUUAAAACUUUAUGCGUGACUUGUCAUUUUAAUUUUUUUAAAUAAGACGGACGGUCAAACGUUGGACACGGAAACCCCAGGGU